ensembl:lncRNA
GGGAGGGAUAAGAGGAGGAGAGUGGGGGAAGGGUUGAUUGUUAGAGCAAGUAGGCUGCUGAGGAGAGGACUUCAGAAGCAGUGCACUCUGCAAGAAAAUAUGCUGUCUGGUUGAAAUCUAUUGGAUUUUCAGAUGAUAACGUUAGGAUACACGUUUAGCGAACUUUAUGACCACAUUCACUGUUGUUCCUUGUAGAUCUUGGACGUGAGAUUGCUAGGUCCGAACUCGCUAGACAUGAGAUGAGUUAGCGGUAUACUGGCCGUUAGCUAGUUUAAGAAGUAAAUAUUAUUUCAUAGAAAGGGUUGGCAAUAUCGAGGAAAAUCCUCGUCCAGACAUUGGCAAGAAAAUUCCACUUAACGACCUAUCGGGGUGGUGUGUCGGGAUGGACUGCUCUGAUGGAGAAACUCAACCUCCACAAACGGGAGUACCCCACUACCCGGCAAUACAUGUGUGCACAGCUCUCAUUCAAAAGUACUCCUUGUUGAGAGACCAGACAGGGAAGGGAUAUGUAAGAAUUCUUGAAUUUUCCUACUCACAUUGAUUCACACACUAAUAACCUUUUUACACCAUUGUGCCUACCGAGACCAUAAUGUGCUGGCUUAGAUGUUUACUUCUCACAUUGGUUAUUCCAUCACAUUCGCAGCAGCAUAAAAAUACCAUCUACUGUUAUGUAAUUAACUACUAUGUCUGCUCCUCUGACCUCACUUCCAAUAAUCCGUCAUGACAUUUCUCAUGUACCCUUUACAGUAUGCAGCCAUUCUAAUUCCAUUCAUUCGAAUCCAGCCUUUUUAUUAUACACCCUUAAAUUGAAGGUCUCGAGGCCACUGCAGCCAUUUUGCUACCUCCUCAAAGAAGAUCCAAGUGGGCUGUACGUCACAGACAGUGUAUGUGUUUCUCAGCGGACAAAUAGAUAAAUGAAAAGUUAGUAAUAAUACUGUGUAAGGGGUGCUCAGUUGUUAACAUACUGUUUGAAAUAUGACUUGAGAAACCAUAUUUUAAAAUGUGUAUUUUUUAUUUAUUUUUUACUUACAGUGUGUAAAUUUCCCCAUUACCUAGAACAAUUAGAGCCAAGUCCAACUGUUCCUGGAUGGAGAGGAGCUACAUGCCAGAGGACAUCUCCAUGGAAUUGAGAUUGGCAAUGGGAGUCCAUUUUGUUUUUAACAUUGAGCAUGCAGCAUCAGUGAAAAACACUAUGCUGAGCUUUCAGAAACCUGUUCUGGGAAUUUAUGAGUGGGGUAAAUUACCAACAAAUGUUGAAUGGCAAACUUUUUUCAGAGUUCCUCUGUCCAGUGUCUGUGUUAUUUUGCCCAUCUUCAUCUUUUCUUUUUAUAGGCCAGUCUGAGAUAUGGCUUUUUCUUUGCAACUCUGCACAGAAGGCCAGCAUCCCGGAGUCGGCCUUUUCAUUGUUGACGUUGAGACUGGAGUUUUGCGGGUACUAUUUAAUGAAGCUGCCAGUUGAGGACUUGUGGGGCGGGGCGUCUGUUUCUCAAACGAGAUACUCUAAUGUACUUGUCCUCUUGCUCAGUUGUGCACCGGGGCCUCCCACUCUUUCGAUUCUGGUUAGAGCCAGUUUGCGCUGUCCUGUGAAGGGAGUAGUACACAGCAUUGUACGAGAUCUUCAGUUUCUUAGCAAUUUCUCGCAUGGAAAAGCCUUCAUUUCUCAGAACAAGAAUAGACUGAUGAGUUUCGGAAGAAAGGUCUUUGUUUCUGGCCAUUUUGAGCCUGUAAUCGAACCCACAAAUGCUGAUGCUCCAGAUACUCAACUAGUUUAAAGAAGGCCAGUUUUAUUGCUUCUUUAAUCAGAAGAACUGUUUUCAGCUGUGCUAACAUAAUUGCAAAAGGGUUUUCUGAUGAUCAAUUAGCCUUUUAAAAUUAUAAACUUGGAUUAGCUAACACAACGUGUCAUUGGAACACAGGAGUGAUGGUUGCUGAUAAUGGGCCUCUACGCCUAUGUAGAUAUUCCAUUACAAAUCAGCCAUUUCCAGCUACAAUAGUCAUUUACAACAUUAACAAUAUCUACACUGUAUUUCUGAUCUAUUUGAUGUUAUUUUAAUGGACAAAAAAUUUGCUUUUCUUUCAAAAACAAGGAAAUAUCUAAGUAACCCCAAACUUUUGAACGGUAGUGUAUAUACUGUAUGUAUGUUUUUAUGUUUAGAUUCAUAAUAUAAUUUAAAAGUAUGCAUGAAGGGAUCUGUAAUAGAAUAAAUGUGGCAAAAUGUCUACAUUACGAAUGUAGACAUUAAUAAAGGCAUUUCUAAUAAUGUGUGACACAUGGUGCCAGGUUUCCUCCAGACGUGACGCUUGGCCUUCAGGCCAAAGAGUUCAAUAUUGGUUUCAUCAGACUAGAGAAUCUUGUUUCUCAUGGUUUGAGAGUCUUUAGGUGCCUUUUGGCAAACUCAAAGCGGGUUGUCAUGUGCCUUUUACUGAGGAGUGGCUUCCGUCUGGCCACUCUAACAUAAAGGCCAGAUUGGUGGAGUGCUGCAGAGAUGGUUGUCCUAUCUCCACAGAUCAACUAUAGAGCUCAGGUUCUUGGUCACCUCCCUGACCAAGGCCCUUCUUCCCUGAUUUCUCAGUUUGGCCAGGCAGCCAGUUCUAGGAAGAGUCUUGGUGGUUCCAAACAUCUUCCAUUUUAGAAUGAUGGAGGCCACUGUGUUCUUGGGGACAUUCAAUUCUACAGAAAUUGUUUGGUACCCUUCCCCAGAUCUGUGCCACGACACAAUCCUGUUUUGUUGCUCUAUGGAUAAUUCCUUCAACCUCAUGGCUUGGUUUUUGCUCUGACCAUGCACUGUCAACUAUGGGACCUUAUAUAGACAGGUGUGUGCCUUUCCAAAUCAUGUCCAAUCAAUUGAAUUUACCACAGGUGGACUCCAAUCGAGUUGUAGAAACAUCUCAAGUGUGAUCAAUGGAAACAGGAUGGACCUGAGCUCAAUUUCGAGUCUCAUAGCAAAGGGUC